GUCCCAUUCGUCUAGACGGCCCAGGACAUUGCUUUUUCAUGGCAAAAACACGGGUUCAAAUCCCGUAUGGGAUA
rnacentral:tRNA from 1 species